AGCAGUAGCCACGGUAAUACGUAGGUGGCAAGCGUUGUCCGGAAUUAUUGGGCGUAAAGGGCUCGCAGGCGGUUUCUUAAGUCUGAUGUGAAAGCCCCCGGCUCAACCGGGGAGGGUCAUUGGAAACUGGGAAACUUGAGUGCAGAGGAAGAGAGUGGAAUUCCACGUGUAGCGGUGAGAUGCGUAGAGAUGUGGAGGAACACCAGUGGCGAAGGCGACUCUCUGGUCUGUAACUGACGCUGAGGAGCGAGAGCGUGGGGAGCGAACAGGAUUAGAUACCCCCGUAGUCCCUGUCUCUUAUAC
rnacentral:rRNA from 1 species